UUUAAUUUAUUUAUUUGUUUCUUCCUUGUGUUUAUGCAGAAUUUCCAGAACAUGAAAGUCUUGACAUUGGACAAGUGUGAAUAUUUAACCCAUAUACCUGAUGUCUCAGGUCUUCAAAAUUUGGAAAAGUUCUCGUUUGCAUAUUGUCGUAAAUUAAUUACAAUUCACAAUUCAAUUGGACACCUAAAUAAACUUGAAAGGUUAANGUCUUCAAAAUUUGGAAAAGUUCUCGUUUGCAUAUUGUCGUAAAUUAAUUACAAUUCACAAUUCAAUUGGACACCUAAAUAAACUUGAAAGGUUAAAUGCAUUUGAUUGCAGCAAACUCGAAAGUUUUCCACCUUUAGGGUUGGCAUCCCUUAAUGAAUUGAAUCUCUCUCAUUGUGGGAGUCUCAAGAGUUUUCCAAAAUUAUUAUGCAAGAUGACAAAUAU
rnacentral:lncRNA from 1 species